rnacentral:rRNA from 1 species
UUGAAAGGGAAACGAUUGAAGUCAGUCAUGCUGGUGGGAAUCAACUUAGGGGAAACUCUAGGUGCACUUCUUCGCUUGGCAGGUUAACGUCGAUCUUGAAUGCCAUAAAAUAAUUGGGGGAAGGUAGCUCCUUCGGGAGUGUUAUAGCCCUUGAUAGAUGUGAUGUUUGGGGUCGAGGAUUGCAACGGAUACCCUUUGGGGCUAGCCGCCUGAUCUCUAAUCGGUGUUGGGUUACGGAUAGCAUGCUGACCGUUUUCUAAUUACUGGUUAAAAGGUUAGAGCGUGCAUAAAUUCGUUAAGGAUGUUGACGUA